AUACGGAGGGUGCAAGCGUUAUCCGGAUUCACUGGGUUUAAAGGGUGCGUAGGCGGAUAGGUAAGUCCGUGGUGAAAUCCUGCAGCUUAACUGCAGAACUGCCGUGGAUACUAUCUAUCUUGAAUAUCGUGGAGGUUAGCAGAAUAUGUCAUGUAGCGGUGAAAUGCUUAGAUAUGACAUAGAAUACCCAUUGCGAAGGCAGCUAACUACGCGAUAAUUGACGCUGAUGCACGAAAGCGUGGGGAUCAAACAGGAUUAGAUACCCUGGUAGUCCACGCUUUAAACGAUGAUUACUCGACAUUGGCGAUACACAGUCAGUGUCUGAGCGAAAGCAUUAAGUAAUCCACCUGGGAAGUACGAUCGCAAGAUUGAAACUCAAAUGAAUUGACGGGG
rnacentral:rRNA from 1 species